UACGAAGGGGGCUAGCGUUGCUCGGAAUCACUGGGCGUAAAGCGCACGUAGGCGGAUCUUUAAGUCAGAGGUGAAAUCCCAAGGCUCAACCUUGGAACUGCCUUUGAUACUGGGGAUCUCGAGUCCGGAAGAGGUGAGUGGAACUGCGAGUGUAGAGGUGAAAUUCGUAGAUAUUCGCAAGAACACCAGUGGCGAAGGCGGCUCACUGGUCCGGUACUGACGCUGAGGUGCGAAAGCGUGGGGAGCAAACGGG
rnacentral:rRNA from 1 species